GAGGAUGCUAAAAGUUUAAAGAAAGAAAUCAAGAUAGCAUUGGUUUCUGAUACUGGUUUAUUUUAUCAGGCCACAUUUUUACUAAAUUUAAUUUCUGGUUUGAACAUUGCAUUUUUAUUUGGAUGCUGUGAUAAAUAAGUAAUGACUUGAACAAGCCUUGCGUAUAGGGCCUGUCAAAUUUUUCAAUGUUCAAUUUCCAAACAUUAGGGGUGGUCAAAAGUUGUGACAGGCCUUGGGAAUUGUAAGGAUAUUUUGGUUAUUUUAAUACAAUUUAGAUGUGCUUGAUUCAAAUCUUCAUAGUGUUUUUCUAUGAAAUCCAAGUCAAGAGAAAGCACUAAAAAGAUAGAUUUGCCCUCUUUCCAUUGUUUUCUGUUAAGGAUCCACCCAAAUGACUGUAGAGAGAUGAAGGAACAAUAUGUGAAAUACGGGUGAUUAACAUUCUUCCCAACAAUGCAUGAAAUAUGACAAUACAUAGAAAACAGAAUUUGCGCUGUAAUUGUAACAAGACAUUCUGUACAUACUUGACCUGCAAGGGGCAUAUUCAACAGCUUUAGACCCAUCAUGAAGAUAACAAGUUCCCACAGGUUCCCUCUGCGCUUUCUGUUCAGUUCUCCAGUGAUAUAAAGGAGCACAUGCCUACAGAUGAAAUAUUUAGAAAGCUCUUUAAAAAGGGCAAUGGCCAUGGGAAAAAUCAAGGGAACAGAAUGGUUAUGAGCAACAAACAGCUAUGGAAAACAAAGAAAAACACCAAUGCACUGAUGAUAAGUCUAUUCAACUGAAUACUGUUUACCUACUGGAUGCACUUUUCAAAUAAGACACAUUAUGUGCCUUUCAAAACAACUGGGCUGAAAAUCCCCCCCCCCCCCAAAAAAGUACAUUAAAUUUGCAAUGAGCCCUACUAUGAGUUUGCUGAUAUUGCUAAACUGUGAAGUGGGAGGAGUUGAUGUGCUGUAUUUUACAAUUCAGUGGCUUCAUGCAUGUGUUAGAAUGGGCCAAGAAAAUUCAGGGGGAAGAGUUUGUAUAUCAAUUUUAUGCUGAUGUGUAAUGAAGCUGAGAGACUCUCCAUGACGUAUCACUUGCUCUUGAGCCCACAUAAGAGUUACAGUUGACAGAACUAAGAUUUCAAUACAAACCAAGCCAACCCUUUAUGCACGCUGACUGGAAAAUUCUGGGAGUUAAAAGUCCACAAUUCUUAAAACUGCUGAAUUGAGAAACACUGAUUUAGAAAUUUCAUUUUCUGUUUUCAAAGUCCUAAAUAUGAUUGCUACAGUUUCAGUGAACUAAUGCCAGAGUUUUUCUAUCUCCACUGACUGUCAAUCCUUCUCUGGACCCAAUUUAAAAUGCUGCUUUUACAUUUAUAACUCUAAUUGAUUUUGGCCCUGAUUAAUUGACAAAGCUAUAUUUAUCUACUGGAUGCUAAAGCCAUCUAUGCUCCAAUCAAAGAAGUGACCUAUCUCACAGACGCCCCAAACCAUUGAUGUGAUUUGAAUUCCAAAAGAUCAUCUACAGCAAAUUCUCUGUUGCCUAGAAGACAAAAUAUUUAGACGGAAUUCUGUGAACAUGACCUUGGAAUGUGACAACAUCCUAACUUUUUAAUGAAUAUCAAUCUCUCCGAAGUGAUAACAGAAGUACACACAAAUAUCACUAGUUUUUUCAUCACUUGACAAGUUUAUAACUUCAAAGCUGAGCUUGUGAACUGAUGCCACUGAAAGAUCCUGCAACUGAGAUAAUGUGAGGUUGUAAAGGUUGUAUCUGAAGAGACCAAUCCAGAAUGAUUCAUGCGCAAAGAGCAUAUAUUCUUCAAAAGCAAUAUUAGCCAUUAUCAUCCUGCUUUGCUUGCUUGCAAAGGCCUGAAUGCUGUUUCAUCACAGACUGAGAUACAUUUCUCUGAAACUUGAUAAGGGUUAGGGUCCAUUAGAAAAUGACUGACGUACAAAUAUUCUCCUCAUAAAUUUAAAAGAAUAUGACUAUGUAAUAUGUUCACUAUGUCAAGAAACUGAAAUGGAAUUUCUCCCUUCCUUCCUCCCUCCCUCCCUCCCCAUGGAAAGAAAAAUUGUGCAAAAAAAAAAAUAAAAUAAAAAAUCUAAUAUUUAAAUUACAAACAAGGAAAGUUAGGACUGGUACAUAAAAACAUAACUGUUUUUAAGACAAUACAGCAAAAUAUUAAUAAAGGAAUGCCAGGAUAGAAAAAUCAGGCCUUCUAACUACAGAGGGUUCACAUAUUUAAUUAGAAAAUAAGAGGCUGUAUGACGUAGAAUUUAAGGUAUUUAACUGUGAAUAGGUAAUCUACAUUUCAGUGCACUCUCAACCAUUGAGGAUUACUAAGUAAGUAUAAAUUUCACAGAUGAAUAAUUCUGUAGUUGUCAUGCAAGGGGUGUUGUUUAUUUCAAAUAUUUAUUAUUACAGUCAAAGACCAGUACAAUUAUAGCUACUCAAAGAGUAUCUAGUUAAAAUGUCUAGAAUAAAAUAAUAAAAUCUAUGUUGAAGUCAUAA